GAUGGGCCUGCGCACCAUUAGCUAGUUGGUAGGGUAACGGCCUACCAAGGCAAAGAUGGUUAGCUGGUCUGAGAGGAUGACCAGCCACACUGGAACUGAGACACGGUCCAGACUCCUACGGGAGGCAGCAGUGGGGAAUCUUGCGCAAUGGGCGAAAGCUUGACGCAGCAACGCCGCGUGGGUGAUGAAGGCCUUCGGGUCGUAAAGCCCUGUCGGAAGGAACGAAUGCUCCUGGGGUGAACAAUCUCAGGAGGUGACGGUACCUUCAAAGGAAGCACCGGCUAACUCCGUGCCAGCAGCCGCGGUAAUACGGAGGGUGCGAGCGUUGUUCGGAAUCAUUGGGCGUAAAGGGCGUGUAGGCGGUUUGUUAAGUCAUGUGUGAAAUCCCUCGGCUCAACCGAGGAAGGGCGCAUGAAACUGGCAAGCUAGAGUACUAAAGAGGGGGGUGGAAUUCCCGGUGUAGCGGUGAAAUGCGUAGAUAUCGAGAGG
rnacentral:rRNA from 1 species